rnacentral:rRNA from 1 species
AAGUUUGAUCCUGGCUCAGAACGAACGCUGGCGGCGUGCUUAACACAUGCAAGUCGAGUGCGCGGUUGUAGCAAUACAACUGGCGCACGGCGCACGGGUGCGUAACACGUGGGCAAUCUGCCCUUCGAUGGGGAAUAACUCCGGGAAACCGAAGCUAAUUCCGCAUAACAUUCCCUGGACUCCGGUUCGGGGAUUCAAAGCCGUAAGGCGUCGAAGGAGGAGCCCGCGCCCGAUUAGCUAGUUGGCAGGGUAACGGCCUACCAAGGCUAUGAUCGGUAGCUGGUCUGAGAGGAUGGCCAGCCACACUGGAACUGAGACACGGUCCAGACUCCUACGGGAGGCAGCAGUGGGGAAUCUUGCGCAAUGGGCGAAAGCCUGACGCAGCGACGCCGCGUGGGGGAUGAAGCAUCUCGGUGUGUAAACCCCUUUCGACUGGGACGAAUGCCUCGCAAGAGGAGUGACGGUACCGGUAGAAGAAGCCCCGGCUAACUACGUGCCAGCAGCCGCGAUAAGACGUAGGGGGCCAGCGUUGUUCGGAAUUACUGGGUGUAAAGGGUUCGUAGGCGGUGUGGCAAGUCGGGAGUGAAAUCUAUGGGCUUAACCCAUAGGCUGCUUCCGAAACUGCUGUGCUGGAGUGUGGGAGAGGCGCGUGGAAUUGCAGGUGUAGCGGUGAAAUGCGUAGAUAUCUGCAGGAACACCCGUGGCGAAAGCGGCGCGCUGGACCACUACUGACGCUGAGGAACGAAAGCUAGGGGAGCAAACAGGAUUAGAUACCCUGGUAGUCCUAGCCCUAAACGAUCAGGACUUGGGGUGCCGCACGUUCGUGCGUCGUCCCGGAGCUAACGCGUUAAGUCCUGCACCUGGGGAGUACGGUCGCAAGACUGAAACUCAAAGGAAUUGACGGGGGCCCGCACAAGCGGUGACAUGUGAUCAUCGACGCUACGCGAGGACCUUACCUGGGCUCGAAGCGCACCUGACUAGCUGUAGAAAAUACGGCCUUCCCGCAAGGG